CCUACGGGGGGCAGCAGUGAGGAAUAUUGGUCAAUGGGCGCGAGCCUGAACCAGCCAAGUCGCGUGAGGGAUGACGGCCCUACGGGUUGUAAACCUCUUUCGUCGGGGAGCAAAUUCCGUUACGUGUAACGGAGUCGAGAGUACCUGAAGAAAAAGCAUCGGCUAACUCCGUGCCAGCAGCCGCGGUAAUACGGAGGAUGCGAGCGUUAUCCGGAUUUAUUGGGUUUAAAGGGUGCGUAGGCGGAAUAUCAAGUCAGCGGUAAAAAUUCGGGGCUCAACCCCGUCGUGCCGUUGAAACUGAUGUU
rnacentral:rRNA from 1 species